AUUAAGACUGUCUUUUUUAGCUCAGUUGUCAACUCCUCAGAGGCCUCCCCUGACCACACAAGUUAGAGCAGCCUCCUCCUUCCAGUUGCUAUGACAUCACCCUCUUUUGUUGUUUCCAUAGCACUCACCACUACCUGAUAUUAUUUCAUUUAUUUAUUCCUUUGCUGGUUUCUUGAGAGUUUACUCUCCACUAGGAUCUUGCUUGUCUUAUUUCCUGCUUUAUUCCAACAUCCAGCAUAUGGACCCAUAGAAGGGUAGGCUGGAAGUAAAUGGUCAAGUGUCCAGACAUUGAGGUCUCUGUCCCACUGCCCUUGACUGUAUCCACAGGAUGAAGAAAAGCCAACUGGAAGGAAUAAGAUGUGGCAAGGUAAAAGAAGCUAUGGCAAGAAGAAAAAUAGUGGUAAAUAUCACCCAAAUGUCGGAAGUUUCAUCCUGAGAAGACGUCCAGAGUAUAUCCAAAAACCCAAGAGAUGCGGUGUUCACUUUUACCUAUAUUUCUAGUUCUUCCUUCCUUCCUUCCAGUAUGU